UCUGCAGGAUCUAAUCCCCACUGCACAGAGAUCAAGGGCAUGGGCUUGGGUUUUAGCUCCACCACGGCCCUGCCAUGUGACCUUGAUCAUAUUCAUGACCUGGAAUGCCUCUGUUGCUUUGCUAUACAUUGGGGAUAAUAACAACGCCCUUUGCCUGAUGCUGUGAGGAUGGCAUGAGGAGUUGCUGAGAACAGCCCUGGUCCAGGGAUAUCCUGUAAAUGUUGGUCAUUAUGAUGUGUGUGACACUGUGUUAGGCUCUGUCAUGUGUGUUCUCCUUAUCUCUUCUACUACCCCACUUCACACACCUGCCAGAGAGAAUUUUUCUAGUACUGCUUACAGACCUUCAGUAGCUCCUCAUUACCUUCAAUGUCUCAUGUGUGGUCCAGAGAAUGAGUUCUGGAGCCGGUUUACUUAGGUGCAAAAGGCCUUUCUGGUGUGCGACUUGGGGCAAGCUACUUAGCUACUCUUUGCCUUCAUUUGGAAAAUGGAGACAUUAGUAAUACUCACCUCCUAGGCCUGUUGUAAAGAUUAAAUAGGACCAAAAUGUAAAAUGCUAAAAAUACAGUUUGAGGUUAGCAAGUGCUCCAAAAAUGUUGACUAUCACUAUUGUCCUAUUUAAAUAUUUAGCUCAAUAAAUAUUUGCUGGAUUAAAUUAGAUAUGUGCCAAACUGUGUGAAGCCAUAAGGAUGUAGUUUUCAAGGAAACCCUUCUCCCAAUCUUCCCUGCUAGAAUGGCAUCAAAUUGCUCCCUAACCUGCCUCCGUAUCUCCCUCACAUACAUGAAUUCUAAACUCUGUCUCAAAGUUUCUUUGCAUUAUUCACUGACAAUCUGUAUUUUACUUGUUUUGAAGGAUGAAAAUGCCUGUGUCAAUUUAUCUUUGACACCACUCCUUGCUGAAUCCACAUAUGUCUAUUACUGAGGAGUUUGGACGGACCAACAUCUGCAGAGGUCCACCUCACAUGAUCCCCAUUCGAUACAGCUGUGACUCUCCAAGGCUUUUACUCAUUAGUAGCUACUUCCUAUUACUUCCUGUAGUUCAGAUAUAAGAUGAAACUGAAAGAGCUUUUCACAAAGACUCUACUGAGGUGACUGUGAAGCCAAGCAUCGGAGUCUGGAGGAACCAUUUGGAAUCAGAACGUGCAGAACAUAUUAUAGGGACUUCUUACCCAAAUAAGCCUGACCCUCAACUCAGCCUUUCCUGUGCCAGUUGGAACAAGAAGCCAGACAUGAUCAUCCUUCAAUGAAGGGAAAUACCAGGACAGG